GACGAACGUUGGCGGCGUGCCUAAUACAUGCAAGUCGAGCGGACAGAAGGGAGCUUGCUCCCGGAUGUUAGCGGCGGACGGGUGAGUAACACGUGGGUAACCUGACUGUAAGACUGGGAUAACUCCGGGAAACCGGAGCUAAUACCGGAUAGUUCCUUGAACCGCAUGGUUCAAGGAUGAAAAACGGUUUCGGCUGUCACUUACAGAUGGACCCGCGGCGCAUUAGCUAGUUGGUGGGGUAAUGGCUCACCAAGGCGACGAUGCGUAGCCGACCUGAGAGGGUGAUCGGCCACACUGGGACUGAGACACGGCCCAGACUCCUACGGGAGGCAGCAGUAGGGAAUCUUCCGCAAUGGACGAAAGUCUGACGGAGCAACGCCGCGUGAGUGAUGAAGGUUUUCGGAUCGUAAAGCUCUGUUGUUAGGGAAGAACAAGUGCGAGAGUAACUGCUCGCACCUUGACGGUACCUAACCAGAAAGCCACGGCUAACUACGUGCCAGCAGCCGCGGUAAUACGUAGGUGGCAAGCGUUGUCCGGAAUUAUUGGGCGUAAAGGGCUCGCAGGCGGUUUCUUAAGUCUGAUGUGAAAGCCCCCGGCUCAACCGGGGAGGGUCAUUGGAAACUGGGGAACUUGAGUGCAGAAGAGGAGAGUGGAAUUCCACGUGUAGCGGUGAAAUGCGUAGAGAUGUGGAGGAACACCAGUGGCGAAGGCGACUCUCUGGUCUGUAACUGACGCUGAGGAGCGAAAGCGUGGGGAGCGAACAGGAUUAGAUACCCUGGUAGUCCACGCCGUAAACGAUGAGUGCUAAGUGUUAGGGGGUUUCCGCCCCUUAGUGCUGCAGCUAACGCAUUAAGCACUCCGCCUGGGGAGUACGGUCGCAAGACUGAAACUCAAAGGAAUUGACGGGGGCCCGCACAAGCGGUGGAGCAUGUGGUUUAAUUCGAAGCAACGCGAAGAACCUUACCAGGUCUUGACAUCCUCUGACAACCCUAGAGAUAGGGCUUUCCCUUCGGGGACAGAGUGACAGGUGGUGCAUGGUUGUCGUCAGCUCGUGUCGUGAGAUGUUGGGUUAAGUCCCGCAACGAGCGCAACCCUUGAUCUUAGUUGCCAGCAUUCAGUUGGGCACUCUAAGGUGACUGCCGGUGACAAACCGGAGGAAGGUGGGGAUGACGUCAAAUCAUCAUGCCCCUUAUGACCUGGGCUACACACGUGCUACAAUGGACAGAACAAAGGGCUGCAAGACCGCAAGGUUUAGCCAAUCCCAUAAACCUGUUCUCAGUUCGGAUCGCAGUCUGCAACUCGACUGCGUGAAGCUGGAAUCGCUAGUAAUCGCGGAUCAGCAUGCCGCGGUGAAUACGUUCCCGGGCCU
rnacentral:rRNA from 1 species